AACAUAACGAGUGAGACUUGCUCAGUUGGUAAAACACCUCCACGGUCUAACCAAUUAUCUUGGUCGAGGGUUCAAGUCAUGUUGGAAGCAAUGUGAGGGCGUCCAGCUUAGCAAGCCUCAUCCGUUUUGCUUC
rnacentral:pre_miRNA from 1 species